rnacentral:rRNA from 1 species
UACGUAGGGGGCAAGCGUUGUCCGGAUUUAUUGGGCGUAAAGAGCGUGUAGGCGGUUAGGUAGGUCCGUUGUGAAAACUCGAGGCUCAACCUCGAGACGCCGAUGGAAACCAUCUGACUAGAGUCCGGAAGAGGAGAGUGGAAUUCCUGGUGUGGCGGUGAAAUGCGCAGAUAUCAGGAAGAACACCCGUGGCUAAGGCGGCUCUCUAGUACGUGACUGACGCUGAGACGCGAAAGCGUGGGGAGCGAACAGG